AACACUUUAUAUUCUGCGAGGAGUGGCGAUUGUAUUUUUGAAAGAUGAAAAUUGUGUUUUGAUAUUUUUUAAAUGGUACAUUUUGCGAAACACCGAUUACGUCCCAAUAAACCAAAUUUUGUUUAUAAACCAUCUAAAUGGUCUCACCAGCCAAUAGCCACACGCUUGCUUGGAUGUGGUUCAGGGGCUGUUGUAAGUAUUUUUAAUCUUUAUGGAUUUUUGCAACACCGCGAUGACCUCUUGCACACCGAUACAAGCUAGAAGAUGAUUCAUGAUUUCAGAAUCACGUGUACAGUGAGGUUGAACAGGUUCUGAAAGAUAGGUAACUUGGACAUCAGUUAGUCGAUCGAGAAUUCCUGUCGCUCUACCCUCCCCACCACCACCACCCAACCAACUUUAUCCCCCAUUUACCGGUCCUGUCCUGGUGUCAACGAUGUCACAGGUGGGAGGAGCUGGCACCACCAGCAGCAUCGACAACGACCCGUGAUGUGUAGUCUACGGUUGUGGUCGCCACUAGCAAGGACGUUUUUAAGUCCUAGUGAUCAGUCACCUGGGAGCAGCCAUAGGGAGGAGUCGCCUCAAGGUAAAGAACAGAAGAAAGUAGACAAGAACGAUUGAAAAGAAAUAAAAAAAUAGAAAAAAGAAGAACCAAGCUGCUCUCGUAUGUUAGCCCUACAACAGGGUAGUUGUGCGCACUGAGGUUACGGCUGACGUGGCGCUGAUUUAUUGUGUCAGACGAUCUCCAGCAGCCCCGUCACUGAUGUGUCCCUCAGUGUCAUGUUCACCUUGAGGGCCACACCACACCAGCCGGGAAACCGUAAAAAUGGCGGCUUGCGAGCCCGCCUCUUGAUUUCUUUCCUUUAACGGCAACGACAGGCGAGCCGCGCGCAGCAAACUAAUCAGCGCGAGGACCACGUGAGCCACGAAUGAGAUGACGAUGCACCCGGGGUCUGAAGGACGGGGGCUAACACUUACUGUGGACUCUAGCCACGCCCUUUUUACUUUGAACUCUUUAAGGGAAAGACAGGAGCCACUAACCUUAAAUUCAGAUGUGGACCCCUUGUCCUCUUGUCGGCCUGGAACUUUGACAACCGAUACUGCUCAAGAUCUCGACUUCGUUUACUCGCGUUACUUCUCGAGUUUACAGGCUACGAGACAAAUGGCUUUAAAAAAAAGUUUAUUGAAAAAGAAACAAGUGGUCGGUCAAAGUUAUUUGAUGACGUGGACGAGCCAAUGAUUAUCAAGAGUAAGGAUGGUUGAGGGAUUGUCCUCAGUUGACCUGUCUCUGAUGGCCAGCGGGAUCUGGCAGAUUGAGGACGAGGGUGAGAGGUCGUGCAAGGCGUGCAUAACAUUGACAGGCUCCUUCAGCCUCGCAAGAUCUCGCUCAACGGUCUCGCAGGCAAAUCACGUGCUGGUGUCUCGACAAACCGGGUAGGAGGGGGAGGAGGAGGCGGAGGUAGCACCUCCUUGAUCGGCACGAGGCUGGUGAGGAAGGGGAGAAAGGGAUGAGACUGAAACGUUUUUCUCACCUGGAUAGGUCUCAUCAGACAGACACCUGUAGCAUUCGCUACCUGAGCACAAUUUAUUUGCAGGGAAUAGACGAGGACCGGAUGCAGGGGCGUUUCCAUCAUGGCCGCGCACUUUGUACCGUCUGCUCCUCGGCGUGCUGAAAUGUAUUUCAGUGAGAGAAGUACUUGCUACCUCGGUGUGCUGAAAUGCAUUUCAGUGACUGAAAAAAAUUCUCUUGGCCCGAUACAUUAGGGGAGGGAAGCUGAAAUCUAGUUCAGUGAGAAGUUUACUUUAGGGCGUUGAAAUAUAGUUCACCAGUGAAGACAAAAAGUUCCCUGAAUGCGAUAAUAAAAUAUAUUUCAAGAAGACGAAGAAGGUUGCCCUGGCGAUGUGAAUCACUCCAGCGAAGUCAACGAUUUCAAUGGCGGUUGUCAACAGAACAAAUAUGGACGAACGUUUAUGCAAGUUUGUCAAAGUGUUUAUGUAACAGUUUUUCAACAUCUUUGCCAAACGUGUCUGUCAAAUGUUUGUCUCCAGGUGUGCAGUUAACAACGACCUUUAAAUACAUGAAAGUCACAGCAAAAUAUGUUUUAAGCGCUCUAAAUGGAUGUCAGUGCUCGGGAAUAUUCUGUUUGAUGGUCCAAAGGACUUUACAGAGAGGGCAAAAUAUUGCCAGAUGAGACUUGAUGAUUAAGUCUUGUCUGGACAACUGGAUGCAUUAUUUCAAACACGAAUAACUCGCAGACAUUUCUCCAAGCAGCCUAGAGGGAUGUGUGAUGGAGUCUCGAAGGGUGGACUACCACUUGUACUGUUUCCUUCAUCAUGAAGCUGGACAUCUUGGUGGACUCUGGCAUCGCAUCAUAACAUCAGCAACUGAGGAACGAAUCAUAAGGACUUUCUGGAUGAGAACGACUUCAAGAAAUGUGUUGAAUGAUUUGGAAAUUAAUGUUCUUUAGGUUGUGAGAUGCCACUCGGGAAAUUUUAGUUUCAACAAGAGAGACACAAGUGUGACUUCACUCAGGUGGACAGCGGACAUCAACUGACUACUUUCUCCGGUUUGUCCAUGCUAGCUUCUUCCCACGCCAAGAACAACCUGCAACAACAACUGCAGCAUCCGUCAUAUUCCAUGUCAGAUUUAUUUAUCUGUUGAUGCUAUCACUUUGGAAUUUUAACUUGAGCCUCCGAGGAAAUGUCGAACUAUUUGCCAACAUAACGAAGCAUAACUGUCAGCGGAGACAUUUUGACUUGAUGACCGCCUGCACGAAGUCAAGAAUGUAAAACUACAAAAAAAUAAUAAUUUUUUGUGGAAAAAGUGGAGCCGACAGUCUUUUUUUGAAAGUGUCCCACGCUGCAUGCCCCAGCUUUCAUCAUAUCUGAGACAGGGAUGCUCGCCGCCAUCAGGCCGGGUGUGUGGGCGGACGGCUCGCGCUUCAAACAAACGCAGGCACCGACCACCGUGAGAGUUGAGUGACUGCAGGACGGGUGGGAAGUGGGGGUACACUCGCCACGGAGAGAUUGGAGGGAUGUCGAAGGUAGAGCUACCCACUGCGAGCUUCCCGGGUAGCGUUUUACGUGCUUUCGUGCGAUUGAAGCCUGCGAAGGAAUGCCUUUCUGAUGGCUGAGGCUGUAGAGUGAGUUCAUAGAUGACCUGGGUGUAUGAUAGCACAGGUGUACAGCACGCGCACCAACACACACACAGCAUGUGGCUACCCGCGCUCCACUCACUCACUCCACUGUUUACCCGCUUUCAGCGGUUGCCGGGUGCCGCCAGGCUACAAGAGGGUAUGUGCUGCCUCGCACCAUGCAAGAAUUUCCACAGCUUUUCGCACCAUCACCCAUCUGUAACCAGGAUGGAAAAUAUAUGGCAGCAUGUCGAAAAUAAACAAACAAGCAGGCCUGCUCUUGUGUAGCCUGCAAGUAUUUACACACAGGAGGGAGGGAGGGGAAGGAGAGAAGAAGAAACAACAUUGAUAACACAGAGAUUUUUCUUUCAUUUUAGUGAGGGUGUCUAGUUACAAACACUUUUUUUUACUACAUGGGAAAAAUGGAGGGUUAGAUAGGGAGCUUGAUAAUGACUAUUAAUACACAGGGUGGCUGAAUGUUCGGGUAUUUAGCUCUGUGAGAAAUAAAAUCUGCAUCCCACGAGUCACGCAUACAUUUAUUUAUUUUAGUAUCGGUUUGUUUUCUGUGAUGGAUACGGCGAACAAAUUCACAUUCGUGUUUACAAAAUUAUUUAUCCUGUGGAAUAACAUUCAGAAAACAAAAUUGAAUCAGUAAAAAAAAUAUUGAGAAGAGGAAAACAUUUCUGUGAGAAAAUGCCGAGCAUGAAGUGCCGAGUGAUAUCUUGAAUAUUUGGUGUUUCCACAUUAUUUCAAUUGCAGAAAUUUAAUAUUUUUAAGAUUUAGACAAGUGUAGAUGAAAUUCCUGAUUCUAAUUACAACAGCAGGGACCUUCUUGAAUUUUAAACUGUAUUGUUGACAGUUCGGGAGCUGCACCUGUGUGAGUGUCUAUGACAUGACAUUUGUAUUUGGGCACUGUUGUCAUUGUGUCAUUAUCUCUUCUAUUGUCAGUAUUAUUGGAUUUAAUAGCAGUUUGCUAGUAAGCGAUUUAAUGGAUAUUUUAUUAAAUUUUAUUACAGUUAAGUCUUCACCUGACAGGUAACAAUACAUAAUUUUAUUUUCAACACUUGUAAAACUUGUUGAACUUUAAUGUGGAUGUGUACAUAUUUUGAAUACUUGCGGGAGAGCCUGAGAGUGUCAGAUAAAUUAAUUAGUUGUAGUCAGUUCAUAAUCUUUUUAAUAUAGUCUGUGUUAAUGGUGGUGUUAAGAGCUGUUCUCAUGUUACCGGUAGCCGACAGAACAAUUUCCUGAAAAGAAUGAAUAAAGAUAUUUUGUAUUUG